rnacentral:lncRNA from 1 species
AAUCAAAUAGAUAAGUAAACCACAUUCACGAUUUAUGAAAUCAUAACUGGAGGAAAUCAAAUCAUAUAAAACAUAUGAUCAUGGCUUUGAAUUCCCCUCUAACUAUAAAGAAAUUAGUUCCUCAUGUUCACAAAUAAACAAAGAUAAAUAAAUCUAAACAUUGACAUAAAGAUAGAAAACACCUAGAAACGCUCCAACAAUCCAAGCUCCUUGAAUGUCAUGCACGGCUCCAAGAGUCUCUUUCCUUCUCCUUUGCAAACUUAAGGCACAAGAGGGAUGAUUGGGUGAAUGGUGUAGUGAAAAUCUGGUAGAGGGUGGUGAGAAUGAAAGGGUGCGGCACUACAUAUAUAUAGGCUGAAAAUCACAGCCCCUAGGUAGCAAAGGAAAAGGAUUUAAAGGCCUAAGUUGCAUAGGAAAAUAAAACACAAUCCUUGAAGGAAAACAAAUCAGAAAUCCAAAGGGAAUGGGAGGAUAAGGUGCAGCACCAAACCAGGAGGGGAUAAGGGCUUCUAGAAACCAAAAUCCCAAGGGAAUUGGGUAAAAACUCACGGCACAAAGUGGAGGGAAAGUGGCUGAAUUGCAAUGCAAGGCAAAGGUCUUCUAGAAAGGUUCUAGGCGCCAUUUUUGUAGGAAAGGAUUAGGUUUUCUAGAAAUCUAAUUUUAAGCAUCCUAAUAUAGCUAGGAAUCCUCCCAAGUAGCUGAAAUAUAGGUGGAUUAGGAUUAGGAUAAGAUAGGAUAGGAUAGGAUAGGAUUGGAUAGGAUAAGGUUUGGAUAAUGUUUUGGAUAAGGUUUCUUUACUUGAGCUGAUUCUUUGGCUUUAACUUCCAUUCUUCAAGUAGGAAGCCUUGUUUGAGUAGGAAACUUCAAUCUUCUAGGAAUCCAACUUCACUUAGGAAUCAUUCUUCAACUAGGAAUCCAUCUUCAACUAGGAAUCCAUGUUUGACUAGGAUUUCAUCUUCAAUUAAGCACUUUCCCACUUCAAUUAGGAAACUUUGCAUCUUCAAAUCUUCAACUUUGAAACACAAUCCUAGCUCUUCAAUCCUUCAAAUUCGUCCAUUCAUUGUGCUCCACAUGCAUGAGCUCCAUUCUAGCUCAAUUUUGCUCCAAAAUGCAUCUUUUUGCUUACUUUGUCCUUAAAACUUGAAAACACAUGAAAAUAGCUUAAAAGACUAACUUAACUAAGAAAACACAACAUAAAUGCAUAAGAACUAGCUAACUAAGGCGCAUAAAUAUGCUCCUAUCAAAUUCCCCCACACUUAGCUUUUGCUAGUCCUCGAGCAAAACAAAGAAACAAAACUAAACGAAACAAAAUAAUCAAAACAUAACCUAAACCUUCCAACAUUUGCCUCAGGGAUUCCCAAUGCACAUGACAUAUUAAAAUCAUCAUUCCCACAGAUUUUAGUCAUCUUCACACUUAAGCACAUACUUAAUCAUAAUCACCACGUACUAGUUCACAUUUAACCAAUUACAACAUGAUUUUUAAUGUAGUAACAUGCCUUAGAGAAUUUGCUCAAGUCCUUACUAGAUAUGCACUCAAUUUUACACAGAUUUUCUAACUACACACCCUAUACUAGUUAUAUGUGAGAAGAUUGAUGUAAAUAUGAAAACGAACGCUCACAUAUAUGUAUAACAAAGAAAGCAUUUUCUGGAGUUAAUAAGCAUUUAGAUAUGAUCUCAUGAAUGAAAUGCUACUACUUAGAUGCGAGAACCAAGGAUAUCAUAUGCUCAUACCAAUUCCAAACUCCACAUAUUGAAACACAUAACAAUCAAGAUAGAAGCAAAGGGUUGUAACGGGGCUAAGGUAUUGGCUAACAAAGGAAGGUAAGGAUAAACAAACAUUCUUAAAGAAUAAUAAGCAAAUUAAUGAAAUUGACACUUAGAAUUCACUUUUGCAUGCAAAAAUCAAUUUUUAAACACAAGGGGAAGACUCAUGCAACACUUAGGGCCAAAUUCAAGCUUUUUGGACCCUUUCUUCAACAACCAACACUUUAGAGCUUCUUUUCACACAUUUUUCAACUCUUCUUCAUUCUUUUCACAUUUUUUCUUCAUUUUUUUCUUUUUCUACGAAUUUUGCUCUUUUUCUCUUUUUUUUUCUUUUUUUUUCUCUUCUUCUAACCCGUGCCCUUCUACUUCUUUUGGCACCAAAAUUUCCCUUCUCCCACAAUGUUGAUAAAAAGGAAUUCCCUCUAAGUCAUGCUUUAUUAUCCUUUAAGAACAAGGGUAUGGAUAGUCCUAAUCUAGGCUAGGUAAGGAUAAUGUGGCUAACAAAGAAAAUGGCUAACUAAGGCUCAAAAGGGUAAACCUACAAAACAAAUGCAUGGUACGAAGGCUUUUUGGCUCUGGUGGUAACUACUAAACAACUUCAUCUUAUUAGUUAUGCUAAUCAAUUUUUAUGCUAUGAAUGAAAUGGGUAUGAGUUCUAAUAUUUGGAUCUAUAAUGAUGACACGCCUUCUAAGUAGCAACCAAGCAAAGAAUGAUGAGAUCAUGCAAUGACUUUAGAAAACAACAAAUUCACAGAUUAUCACUCUCCAAAGAAUGUUUAGGCUCAAGUCUCACAGGGUUGUAGCGUUAGUUUGAGUUACUUCCUUCAAGCAUGUUACAAAAACUGAUUUUUUCUUUAUGAUUACAUGUGAAUUCAUAAACAACAAUGAUGACCAAGCAUAAACAAAAGAGCAAUUCAAACUUCCAUCCAUGUUUGUAACUUUCUUUAACAGUCAUGCAAUUAAAAACCAAAUCCUCAUCAUUGUGUUGGAAGGUACUCUAAGACACAAACAAACACACAAAAACGACUUUUUUUGGGUUUUUCAAAACAAUUUCUUCAAAUUUUUAUGGGAUUUUCGGAUUUUCAUGUUAAAACACACUAAAAUGCUUCAAAACACACUAAAAACACUUAAAAACAAUGAAAAACAACCUUUGAAAUGUUAGGUGGUAAAAUCCUACGAAUUUUUCAAUAAAAACACUUGUUUACCCCCCCCACACUUAAACCAAACAUUGUCCUCAAUAUUUCAAACAUAGACUCACACAAAAAACAAGCAAACAACACAACUAGCAAACAUGACAAAUAUGGCAAAAUAAAAGCAAUAAAGAGUAGGGUUUAGGAACGCAAAUCUAGUUGUGAUGCCGGAGCUUCCUAGGUCUUCUUUAUUCGCAUGGGUUGCCUCCCACGAAGCGCUUGCUUUAACGUCUUCCAGCCGGAUGAUGCCUCCUGAUAGGAGCAUAUUUAUGCGACUUCGUUGGCUUGUUCUUGUGCAUUUAUGUCGUGUUUCCUUAGUUAUUUUAAUGUUUAAAGUCAUUUUCGUGUUUUUUCAGAUUUUAUGGACAAAGUAGGCAAGAAGAUGCAUUUUGGAGCAUUU